GAUGAACGCUGGCGGCGUGCCUAAUACAUGCAAGUCGAGCGAACGGACGAGAAGCUUGCUUCUCUGAUGUUAGCGGCGGACGGGAGAGUCACACGUGGAUAACCUCCCUAUCAGACUGGGAUAACUGCGGGAAACCGGAGCUAAUACCGGAUAAUAUUUUGAACCGCAUGGUUCUAAAGAGAAAGACGGUCUUGCUGUAACUUAUAGAUUGAUCCGCGCUUGAUUAGGUAGUUGGUAAGGUAACGGCUUACGGAGGCAACUAAGCAUAGCCGACCUGAGAGGGUGAUCGGCCCCCCUGGAACUGAGACACGGUCCAGACUCCUACGGGAGGCAGCAGUAGGGAAUCUUCCGCAAUGGGCGAAAGCAUGACGGAGCAACGCCGCGUGAGUGAUGAAGUUCUUCGGAUCGUAAACCUGGGUUAUUAGGGAAGAACAUAUGUGUAAGUAACUGUGCACAUCUUGACGGUACCUAAUCAGAAAGCCACGGCUAACUACGUG
rnacentral:rRNA from 1 species